UAUCAUCAUCAUCGUUUAACGUCCGCUUUCCAUGCUAGCAUGGGUUGGACGGUUCAACUGGGUGGUUGCUAGGCAGAAGACUGCACCAGCCUUCACUCUGUUUUAGCAGGGUUUUUAAGGCUGGAUGCCCUUCCUAACACCAAC